rnacentral:rRNA from 1 species
GACCUCGAAUCAGGUAGGACUACCCGCUGAACUUAAGCAUAUUAAUA